GCCUCGGGGCCGUGCCCAUUCCCUGGGGAGCCUGGGCAGUGCCCAGCAGCCUCUGGGGGAAGAACCUUUCCUGAGAUCCAACCUAAACCCCCCUGACACUGCUCCAGCGGUUCCCUAC